rnacentral:rRNA from 1 species
AACGUAGGUUCCGAGCGUUAUCCGGAUUUACUGGGCGUAAAGCGUGUUCAGGCGGCUCAGCAAGUCGGGCAUGAAAUCUCUCGGCUCAACCGGGAGGGGCUGUCCGAAACUGCUGGGCUUGAGGGCAGUAGAGGGUGGUGGAACUCCGGGUGUAGUGGUGAAAUGCGUAGAUAUCCGGAGGAACACCAGUGGCGAAAGCGGCCACCUGGACUGUACCUGACGCUCAAACACGAAAGCUAGGGGAGCGAACGGG